rnacentral:lncRNA from 1 species
UUUUCUUAAAACUAUUUUGGACCAAUCAGCAGCGGGGGCAUUUUCGUCCACUUUUUAUGUUUUUAAAAUUCUGGAAAAAUUUGGAGUGAGAAUAUCAGAAGAUAUGAAGGUUGUGUAAAAAUCUGAGAAUUUUUGGCCAUACGAUUUGAGAGAUAUAGAUUUUACGAUGAAUGACUACUUGUAUAAAGCCACCCGAAUAACUCUCUGUGUAUAAGUUCACAAAUU